CAGCUUAUGAGUCGGGCGCAGUCCUUGUUUUUGUGCCACACCUUUUUCUGUUUUGGUGCUGCGUCACCCUAUUUUGGACCAAUGGCCCAUGUAUCAAGUUGAGUCCAUUAGGGACGCGUCCUAGGGUUGGAGGACGACUCUAGCACCCCUUUGGUCGUCCUCCCCUCUAUUUAUUUACAUCUAGAGCCGCCAUGAACAACUGGGUUUUGAUUAGAUAAAGUUUAGCCUUCGCUACUUGCUUGUAAAUGCGCGUGCUGAUCCAGCCGCCCGUCUUCUUGUUUUCGAAACCCCACUUCAUUAGAGAUUGAGUUUGAAACCUUCAUUUACAUCUAGUAAUUUAGUACUUGUUCUACUUGUUCUUGCUGGUUCUUCGAUUGCUUGCAGGACGAGUGCCCUAGUGGCCGGGUGUUGCGCUCCACAAGAUCGUGACAGCCAUUGGAGGCGGUGUAUCGGUUGCUAAGGCGCGGCCUUAGAAGGCUGUAGUCGGGCCGUGAACGUCAUCUCCAUUUACUAAUCGAGUUAUCCAGCGCCUCUCAUCGAAAGAUCAGGCGAAAACCCUAGUGGGUUCACAUCAGUUGGUAAUCAGAGCAAGGUUUAUCGGUGAGAGAUUUCCAAUUCUUCGUGUUUGUUUUUCCUAUAGUCCAAAAAAAGAAAAAAAAAUAUAGCAGAUUUGUUUUCCAUAAUCCUAUAAAUCCUUUGUGCCGUGGCUAGUACUACUUAGUUAGGGCUGGUUGAAUGAGUGUUUGCUUCGGUCGUGUCCAGUGCUGGUUUUAGUUUAGUCCUUUAGAGUUUUGAGUUCUUGUCACCAUCUAGUCACAACUGCAUCCAAUCUAUUGUGGGUUGGAAUUUGAGUAGAUCUUGAUAAUAGGUGCAGCCACUUGUUGGUCUAUUCUGCGUUUCCAUCAACGUGAUCCAAAAGGAAAGAUAGCACUUCAUACUUGUGCUAGAUAUAUUGAAUUUUGAGGUUCAGCCUUACUCUAGUGAGAGGGUGAGAGUGGUGAAGUGAUAUUUUGUACUAUUUUGUUUAUAUAAUCAGGUUUUGAGGUUCCCCAAAAAAAAGAAAAGAGAAAGAAAAAAAAAUAAAAAAAAGAAAGAAAGAAAGAAAAAAUAUCAAAAAAAGGGGAUUGUUGUUCCUUUUUGUUUCCAGUAGGGCUGCUCAUUUUAUUUCUAGUGGUGUGCUGUGUUUUUCCUUUGUGUCCAGGCUCGCGUCUCUAGCACGGUCUAGGCUAGGACCAGCACAGUACCACGGUUGAGCGUUUAUUCAACUUGCUUUUUAUAACUAACGUGGUGCUAGUUCGAUCCUUGUUUCAGCCCACCUAUAGCUCCACAUAUUCUACAGCUUGAUAGGUUUUGUUGCUGCGGCACCGAUACACUUCGUCCAUUGCUGUGGAUUUGUUGGUAGCCAAUCCCUCCUGUUGAGCAAGGUAAGAAUUGGUAAGAACUUGUUAGACAGGUUGAUAGAGAGCGUCUUACAGUAGCCACAUCCUAAUAGCUGUAGGGUUUUAAUUUCUUCACCUAUUUUUCUUGUUUCCACUGUGUGUUUUUUUAAACCAUGUCAGAGACAGAGGAUACCAACAAAAUUCCACAGUCACCUCGCACUAAGGGCAUCAUACAACAUUUUGAAAGGCAAGUGAAGCUACACACAGAGGGACUUGAUGACGACUUGAAGGUGACGAAUGACAAGCUUGGGCAGUUGGAGGACACGCAGAUUGCCACAAACAACAAGAUUACAAAGAUGGAGGCAUCUAUUACUAGUAUGGAUAAAAGUCUUGCUGCUCUUCUCAAACGCUUUGAUGACUUCCACACAAUGGACAAAGAGAAGCAUAAGGAAGAAAACAAGGAGGAAGACCGAGUGGAUGGCAAUUAUGAUGAUGAUUACACUGCUGAUACGGAACGAGAUGAUCAAGACACUCAUCAUCGACGUCGCCUACGUCACACCCAUAGAGGUAUGGGUGGCCACCACCGACGCGAGGUACACAAUAAUAAUGAUGCUUUCAGUAAGAUUAAAUUUAAAAUACCUCCUUUUGAUGGUAAAUAUGACCCUGAUGCAUACAUUACUUGGGAGAUUGCUGUUGACCAAAAGUUUACAUGUCAUGAAUUCCCUGAGGAUACACGUGUUAGGGCUGCUACUAGUGAGUUCACCGAUUUUGCUUCCGUUUGGUGGAUAGAACAUGGCAAGAAAAAUCCUAAUAACAUACCUAGAACUUGGAAUGCGUUGAAACAAGUCAUGAGGGCUAGAUUUGUUCCUUCUUACUAUGCACGUGACAUGAUUAAUAAGUUGCAGCAAUUGAGACAAGGUGCUAAAAGUGUAGAAGAAUAUUAUCAGGAAUUACAAAUGGGUAUGCUGCGAUGUAAUUUAGAGGAGGAAGAAGAACCUGCUAUGGCUAGAUUUUUGGGCGGGUUAAAUCGUGAAAUCUAGGACAUUCUUGCUUAUAAAGAUUAUACUAACGUAACCCGUUUGUUUCAUCUUGCUUCUAAAGCUGAAAGGGAAGUGCAGGGACGACGUUCUAGUGCCAAAUCUAACAAUUCUGCAGGGAAAUCCUGGCAACAACGCACAUCUGCUACAUUGUCGGGUGGUCUACCUCUUCCAUCAAGCCGAUCAAUAGCUCCACCACCUUCCUACAGCGACAAACCACAUGAUUCUUCCACAAAUACAGCAACUAAAUCAGCCCAGAGACCAAUCGCUAGUGCCUCCUCGGUUAAUUCCACAGGAAGAACAAGAGAUGUUCAGUGUCAUCGAUGCAAGGGCUAUGGGCACGUACAGCGAGAUUGUCCAAACAAGCGUGUUUUGGUGGUUAACGCUGAUGGUGGGUAUUCCUCUGCUAGUGAUUUUGAUGACGAUACACGUGCUUUGCUUGCUGCUGAUGAUACAGGUAGGGAUGAAGCAAUAGAAGAGCAGAUAGGUACAGAGAAUGUAGAGCAUUAUGAGAGUCUUAUUGUGCAGCGUGUGCUUAGUGCUCAAGCGGAGAAGGUAGAGCAGAAUCAGCGGCAUACAUUGUUCCAAACAAAGUAUGUUAUUAAAGAGCGUUCUUGUCGUUUGAUUAUUGAUGGAGGUAGCUGCAACAACUUGGCUAGCAGCAACAUGAUGGAGAAGCUUGCACUUACCACCAAACCACAUCCAUAUCACAUUCGGUGGCUGAACAACAGUGGUAAGGCCAAGGUAACAAAACUAGUGCGAAUUAAUUUUACUAUUGGUUCAUACCAUGAUGUUGUUGAAUGUGAUGUUGUACCUAUGGAAGCUUGUAAUAUUCUGCUAGGUAGACCAUGGCAAUUUGAUAAGGAAUGUAUACAUCAUGGUAGAUCAAAUCAGUAUUCGUUUAUGCACCAUGAUAUGAAAAUUGUUUUGCUACCUAUGUCUCCCGAAGCUAUCGUACGUGAUGAAGUUGCUAAAAUUACCAAGCCUAAAAUUAAGAACAAUGCAGAUACCAAUGGAAAUAACAAAGAUGAGAUAAGAUUAAAUGGACAUUGCAUGCUUGCUACUAAAUUUGAAGUUAAUGAACUAAUUGCUUCCACAUCUAUUGCUUAUGCUUUGGUAUGUAAGGGUGUUUUGAUUUCAAUUGAAGAUAUGCUGCAUUCUUUGCCCCCUGCUGUUCAUAACAUUUUGCAGGAGUAUGCUGAUGUUUUUCCAAGUGAGAUACCGGCAGGGCUGCCACCUAUACGUGGGAUUGAGCACCAAAUUGAUCUUAUUCCUGGUGCAUCUUUGCCAAACCGCGCGCCAUACAGGACAAAUCCAGAGGAAACAAAAGAGAUCCAGCGGCAAGUGCAAGAACUCCUCGACAAAGGUUAUGGAAUUGAGGUUGAUCAAGCCAAGGUAGAAGCUAUACAGGGAUGGCCUGUACCAAAGACAAUCACCCAGGUGCGGAGUUUCUUAGGACUUGCUGGGUUUUAUCGCCGUUUUGUGAAGGAUUUCAGCACCAUUGCUGCACCAUUGAAUGAGCUUACAAAGAAGGGAGUGCCUUUUGUGUGGAGCAAAGUACAAGAGAAUUCCUUCAACAUGUUAAAAGAUAAGUUAACACAUGCACCUCUCCUACAGCUUCCUGAUUUUAAUAAGACUUUUGAGCUUGAGUGUGAUGCUAGUGGGAUUGGUUUGGGAGGUGUUUUGCUACAAGAGGGUAAACCUGUUGCAUAUUUUAGUGAGAAAUUGAGUGGGCCUGUUCUGAACUAUUCAACUUAUGAUAAAGAAUUGUAUGCUCUUGUCCGAACUUUAGAAACAUGGCAACAUUAUUUGUGGCCCAAAGAGUUUGUUAUUCAUUCUGAUCAUGAAUCUUUAAAACAUAUUCGUAGUCAAGGAAAACUAAAUCGCAGACAUGCUAAGUGGGUAGAAUUUAUUGAAUCCUUUCCUUAUGUUAUUAAGCACAAGAAAGGGAAGGAGAAUAUCAUUGCUGAUGCUUUGUCAAGGAGAUAUACUUUGCUAAAUCAACUUGAUUACAAGAUUUUUGGAUUAGAAACGAUCAAAGACCAAUAUGUUCAUGAUGCUGAUUUUAAUGAAGUGUUGCUGCGUUGUAAAGAUGGAAAAGGAUGGAACAAAUUCAUCGUUAGUGAUGGGUUUGUGUUUAGAGCUAACAAGCUAUGCAUUCCAGCUAGCUCUGUUCGUUUGUUGUUGUUACAGGAAGCUCAUGGAGGAGGUUUGAUGGGACAUUUUGGAGCAAAGAAGACGGAGGACAUACUUGCUGAUUUGAAACCAUAUUUGGGUGAGGAACAUGAGCUUGAGUCGAGGACGACUCAAAUCCAAGAAAGGGAGGAUGAUGAGGACAUCAACACCAUCAAUAUAUCCGCACCUACACCAGUUGGUCCUCUUACUCAUGCUCGUGCCCGUCAACUCAACCUUCAAGUAAGUUCAGUUUUAAACUCUUGUCAAUCAUAUUUAGACAAUGGAGACACGUGCACUUUCGUGUUGCUCAGGAAUAAUGGACAAGAUCAGCAAGGGAAGGUUCAACUGCAUUCGGAAUUUGAGGCAACACCAACUUCAAGGGCUGAUUGCAUAUGGGAAGAGUGAUAACUUAACAAAGGUGUUUGGAGAUCAGGUCCAAGCCUCCACAACAUCCUCUAUCAAGUUACCACGUUGCUUCUAAAGCAAGGAAACAAAGAGUCCAAACCCAACACGUUUUGUGAGUUGGAUUCGGACUGGAAAAUAACUCUAACUUGUAUGGAUCACCACGGCGUCAUAUGGACUCCAACUGGGACAUUCCUAUACUUGUUGAAAAGCUCAUGAAGUCUACUUUCCAAUGGGUCCAACCACAUAUCUAUGCAGCUUAUGAGUCGGGCGCAGUCCUUGUUUUUGUGCCACACCUUUUUCUGUUUUGGUGCUGCGUCACCCUAUUUUGGACCAAUGGCCCAUGUAUCAAGUUGAGUCCAUUAGGGACGCGUCCUAGGGUUGGAGGACGACUCUAGUACCCCUUUUGUCGUCCUCCCCUCUAUUUAUUUACAUCUAGAGCCGCCAUGAACAACUGGGUUUUGAUUAGAUAAAGUUUAGCCUUCGCUACUUGCUUGUAAACGCGCGUGCUGAUCCAGCCGCCCGUCUUCUUGUUUUCGAAACCCCACUUCAUUAGAGAUUGAGUUUGAAACCUUCAUUUACAUCUAGUAAUUUAGUACUUGUUCUACUUGUUCUUGCUGGUUCUUCGAUUGCUUGCAGGACGAGUGCCCUAGUGGCCGGGUGUUGCGCUCCACAAGAUCGUGACAGCCAUUGGAGGCGGUGUAUCGGUUGCUAAGGCACGGCCUUAGAAGGCUGUAGUCGGGCCGUGAACGUCAUCUCCAUUCACUAAUCGAGUUAUCCAGCACCUCUCAUCGAAAGAUCAGGCGAAAACCCUAGUGGGUUCACAUCAGUUGGUAAUCAGAGCAAGGUUUAUCGGUGAGAGAUUUCCAAUUCUUCGUGUUUGUUUUUCCUAUAGUCCAAAAAAAGAAAAAAAAUAUAGCAGAUUUGUUUUCCAUAAUCCUAUAAAAUCCUUUGUGCCGUGGCUAGUACUACUUAGUUAGGGCUGGUUGAAUGAGUGUUUGCUUCGGUCGUGUCCAGUGCUGGUUUUAGUUUAGUCCUUUAGAGUUUUGAGUUCUUGUCACCAUCUAGUCACAACUGCAUCCAAUCUAUUGUGGGUUCGAAUUUGAGUAGAUCUUGAUAAUAGGUGCAGCCACUUGUUGGUCUAUUCUGCGUUUCCAUCAACAUGAUCCAAAGGGAAAGAUAGCACUUCAUACUUGUGCUAGAUAUAUUGAAUUUUGAGGUUCAGCCUUACUUUAGUGAGAGGGUGAGAGUGGUGAAGUGAUAUUUUGUACUAUUUUGUUUAUAUAAUCAGGUUUUGAGGUUCCCAAAAAAAAACAAAAGAGAAAGAAAAAAAAAUAAAAAAAAAGAAAGAAAGAAAGAAAAAAAAUAAAAAAGGGGAUUGUUGUUCCUUUUGUUUCCAGUAGGGCUGCUCAUUUUGUUUCUAGUGGUGUGCUGUGUUUUCCCUUUGUGUCCAGGCUCGCGUCUCUAGCACGGUCUAGGCUAGGACCAGCACAGUACCACCGCUGAGCGUUUAUUCAACUUGCUUUUUAUAACUAACGUGGUGCUAGUUCGAUCCUUGUUUCAGCCCACCUAUAGCUCCACAUAUUCUACAGC
rnacentral:lncRNA from 1 species